AUGCUGAUACCAACUUUCCAAGAAGGAAGUGGUAGCGAGUCUGAUGAUUACAAUGAACCACAAGAUCCUGCUGAAGAGGAGACUGACGAUGAAGAGAACAUAUAUUUUGAUACAACUGAUUUCCUUUCAUCUAGUUCUUUUAAAAGCAGUGGAUCUGAUUUCCAAAGAUCUGAAGCUGGUUCAGAUGAUGAGGACGACUACCCGAUGGAUGGAAUUGAUCCUUCUAUGAAGUCUGUUGGAAUUAAUUGUCCAUAUGUGAGAAGGCGUAAGAAGCUACCAGAUCCAGUUGAGAAAGAGAAGGGUGUUAGUUUGUGGUCAAUGAUCAAGGACAACAUAGGAAAGGAUCUUACCAAAGUCUGUCUGCCUGUUUACUUCAAUGAACCUCUUUCAUCAUUACAAAAAUGUUUCGAGGAUCUUGAGUAUUCCUACCUUAUUGAUCGUGCAUAUGAAUGGGGCAAAAGGGUAUGUCUUCUUCCUCAUUAUUCUCAGCAUGUGACGGGAAGUGCGUGA
rnacentral:rRNA from 1 species